rnacentral:rRNA from 1 species
UGGAGCUGAAAUCAGUCGAAGAUACCAGCUGGCUGCAACUGUUUAUUAAAAACACAGCACUGUGCAAACACGAAAGUGGACGUAUACGGUGUGACGCCUGCCCGGUGCCGGAAGGUUAAUUGAUGGGGUCAGCGCAAGCGAAGCUCUUGAUCGAAGCCCCGGUAAACGGCGGCCGUAACUAUAACGGUCCUAAGGUAGCGAAAUUCCUUGUCGGGUAAGUUCCGACCUGCACGAAUGGCGUAAUGAUGGCCAGGCUGUCUCCACCCGAGACUCAGUGAAAUUGAACUCGCUGUGAAGAUGCAGUGUACCCGCGGCAAGACGGAAAGACCCCGUGAACCUUUACUAUAGCUUGACACUGAACAUUGAGCCUUGAUGUGUAGGAUAGGUGGGAGGCUUAGAAGUGUGGACGCCAGUCUGCAUGGAGCCGACCUUGAAAUACCACCCUUUAAUGUUUGAUGUUCUAACGUUGACCCGUAAUCCGGGUUGCGGACAGUGUCUGGUGGGUAGUUUGACUGGGGCGGUCUCCUCCUAAAGAGUAACGGAGGAGCACGAAGGUUGGCUAAUCCUGGUCGGACAUCAGGAGGUUAGUGCAAUGGCAUAAGCCAGCUUGACUGCGAGCGUGACGGCGCGAGCAGGUGCGAAAGCAGGUCAUAGUGAUCCGGUGGUUCUGAAUGGAAGGGCCAUCGCUCAACGGAUAAAAGGUACUCCGGGGAUAACAGGCUGAUACCGCCCAAGAGUUCAUAUCGACGGCGGUGUUUGGCACCUCGAUGUCGGCUCAUCACAUCCUGGGGCUGAAGUAGGUCCCAAGGGUAUGGCUGUUCGCCAUUUAAAGUGGUACGCGAGCUGGGUUUAGAACGUCGUGAGACAGUUCGGUCCCUAUCUGCCGUGGGCGCUGGAGAAUUGAGGGGGGCUGCUCCUAGUACGAGAGGACCGGAGUGGACGCAUCACUGGUGUUCGGGUUGUCAUGCCAAUGGCACUGCCCGGUAGCUAAAUGCGGAAGAGAUAAGUGCUGAAAGCAUCUAAGCACGAAACUUGCCCCGAGAUGAGUUCUCCCUGACUCCUUGAGAGUCCUGAAGGAACGUUGAAGACGACGACGUUGAUAGGCCGGGUGUGUAAGCGCAGCGAUGCGUUGAGCUAACCGGUACUAAUGAACCGUGAGGCUUAACCUU